GACGAACGCUGGCGGCGUGCUUAACACAUGCAAGUCGAACGGAAAGGCCUGCUUUCCCUUGUGGAUUGCGGGUACUCGAGUGGCGAACGGGUGAGUAACACGUGAGUGAUCUGCCCCCAACUUUGGUAUAAGCCUGGGAAACUGGGUCUAAUUCCCGAUAGCACUGCAGGGUGGUUCCUGUGGUGGAAAACGAUUUUCUAGUGGUUGGGGAUGAGCUCGCGGCCUAUCAGCUUGUUGGUGGGGUAAUGGCCUACCAAGGCGGCGACGGGUAGCCGGCCUGGGAGGGUGGACGGCAACAUUGGGACUGAGAUACGGCCCAGACGCCUACGGGAGGAAGCAGUGGGGAAGAUGGCACAAGGGGCGGAAGCCUGAGGCAGCGACGCCGCGGGGGGGAUGACGGCCUUCGGGUUGUAAACUCCUUUCGACCGCGAGGAAGCCACCUGGUUGGAAGGGGGGUGACGGUAGUGGUAGAAGAAGCACCGGCUAACUACGUG
rnacentral:rRNA from 1 species